GUGCAUGAUGAGAUAUACAAGCUUAGGACACCUUUGGAUGCUCGUGCAUGUGAAAAGAACGUCUUGCAAACAUCGAUUCGUACUCUGACGAC
rnacentral:misc_RNA from 1 species